AAUCUAUUUCAGCUCUUCAUGGUGAAAUUGCAGACUGAAAGACGGCAUCUCGCUGUCGCUAUAAGAUGGGCCCGCGGCGCAUUAGCUAGUUGGUGAGGUAACGGCUCACCAAGGCGACGAUGCGUAGCCCGACCUGAGAGGGUGAUGACGGCCACACUGGGACUGAGACACGGCCCAGACUCCUACGGGAGGCAGCAGUAGGCUGAAUCUUCCACAAUGGGCGAAAGCCUGAUGGAGCAACGCCGCGUGAGUGAAGAAGGUUUUCGGAUCGUAAAACUCUGUUGUAAGGGAAGAACAAGUACAGUAGUAACUGGCUGUACCUUGACGGUACCUUAUUAGAAAGCCACGGCUAACUACGUGCCAGCAGCCGCUGGUAAUACGUAUUGGUGGCAAGCGUUGUCCGGAAUUAUUGGGCGUAAAGCGCGCGCAGAGCGGUCCUUUAAGUCUGAUGUGAAAGCCCACGGCUCAACCGUGGAGGGUCAUUGGAAACUGGGGGACUUGAGUGCAGAAGAGGAAUAGUGGAAUUCCAAGUGUAGCGGUGAAAUGCGUAGAGAUUUGGAGGAACACCAGUGGCGAAGGCGACUUUCUGGUCUGUAACUGACGCU
rnacentral:rRNA from 1 species